UACGCCCGAUCUCGUCCGAUCUCGGAAGCUAAGCACGGUCGGGCCUGGUUAGUACUUGGAUCGGAGACCGCCUGGGAAUACUAGGUGCUGUAAGCCU
rnacentral:rRNA from 1 species